AGCAGCGUGGCUCAGUGGAAAGAGCCCGGGCUUGGGAGUCAGAGGUCAUGGGUUCGAAUCCCGGCUCUGCUA
rnacentral:tRNA from 1 species